rnacentral:rRNA from 1 species
AUGCAGUCGAGCGGUAGAGAGGAGCUUGCUUCUCUUGAGAGCGGCGGACGGGUGAGUAAUGCCUAGGAAUCUGCCUAGUGGUGGGGGAUAACGUUCGGAAACGGACGCUAAUACCGCAUACGUCCUACGGGAGAAAGCGGGGGACCUUCGGGCCUCGCGCCAUUAGAUGAGCCUAGGUCGGAUUAGCUAGUUGGUGAGGUAACGGCUCACCAAGGCGACGAUCCGUAACUGGUCUGAGAGGAUGAUCAGUCACACUGGAACUGAGACACGGUCCAGACUCCUACGGGAGGCAGCAGUGGGGAAUAUUGGACAAUGGGCGAAAGCCUGAUCCAGCCAUGCCGCGUGUGUGAAGAAGGUCUUCGGAUUGUAAAGCACUUUAAGUUGGGAGGAAGGGUAGUAACUUAAUACGUUGCUAUUUUGACGUUACCGACAGAAUAAGCACCGGCUAACUCUGUGCCAGCAGCCGCGGUAAUACAGAGGGUGCAAGCGUUAAUCGGAAUUACUGGGCGUAAAGCGCGCGUAGGUGGUUUGUUAAGUUGGAUGUGAAAGCCCCGGGCUCAACCUGGGAACUGCAUCCAAAACUGGCAAGCUAGAGUACGGUAGAGGGUGGUGGAAUUUCCUGUGUAGCGGUGAAAUGCGUAGAUAUAGGAAGGAACACCAGUGGCGAAGGCGACCACCUGGACUGAUACUGACACUGAGGUGCGAAAGCGUGGGGAGCAAACAGGAUUAGAUACCCUGGUAGUCCACGCCGUAAACGAUGUCAACUAGCCGUUGGGAGUCUUGAACUCUUAGUGGCGCAGCUAACGCAUUAAGUUGACCGCCUGGGGAGUACGGCCGCAAGGUUAAAACUCAA